GAUGAAGAACGUAGCGAAAUGCGAUAAGUAAUGUGAAUUGCAGAAUUCAGUGAAUCAUCGAAUGUUUGAACGCACAUUGCGCCCUCUGGUAUUCCGGGGGGCAUGCCUGUUCGAGCGUCAUUAUAACCACUCAAGCUCUCGCUUGGUAUUGGGGUUCGCGGUUCCGCGGCCCCUAAAAUCAGUGGCGGUGCCUGUCGGCUCUACGCGUAGUAAUACUCCUCGCGAUUGAGUCCGGUAGGUCUACUUGCCAGCAACCCCCAAUUUUUACAGGUUGACCUCGGAUCAGGUAGGGAUACCCGCUGAACUUAAGCAUAUCAAUAAGCGGAGGA
rnacentral:misc_RNA from 1 species